AAGGAGAGAGACACAGAGUCAAAGAGUCAGAUCAUUGAAGGCAUCACCAGACUCAUCUGCUCUGCCAAGAAUCAACAAACCAGUCUAAGAGUGUCUGUAGAUGGGAUGGAGUGGAAUGAUGUGAAGUUCUUCCAGCUGGCAUCUCAGUGGCCCACUCAUGUGAAGUACAUUCCUGUGGGGCUGUUUGGGUACAACAAACCAUCUUCUUAGUGACCUCUGGCUUGGGAAAUAACAUGGUAAAGUUUACUGACCCUGCUUGUUUUAGCCUUCAGUUGGAAUUGAGGGCUAAUAGUUCAUGAGUGGUCCGGCUUCCUGUACACGAGAGAUACCUGAGCCGUAGUGGGAGCUCGCUGAUCAGUGGGUUUAUUUGAUCUUGUUUUGACCUAUAGAGGGCCAGAGCAGACCGAAAAAGGCUUGAGGAUGGGCCAUCAGUGGGUUGAGAUAUUAUUUAUGAACCUUUUCUAACAGUGUUUUGUCUGCUGUGCGAUUCAUGACGCAAUAAUAUCCUAAUAUUGUAUUAAUUUAAAUGGUACUUGAUGUUAGUAAAUUUAAAGUCCUCAACCUUUGUACAACUUUAAUGUGAUUAGUGCUAAUUCACCUGACUGAAUCUGACAUCCAAAGCUUCUCAACCUUUAAGAUACUUUAUUUAAGGAUACUUUUGUCUAUGUAUGAAAUAUUCUACUGUAUAAAAUAUAUAUUUGCUGCUUAUGUAAUUUGAUCUAUAUGUAUGUAGUAAUCAAAGCAUGUACAGUAUGUAUAUGUGCUUACAUCAGGGUUUGUCUAAGCUGCUAUGGGCACCUAAUCCAUUCCACUGUGGUUUCUGAGUUGAACUACUUUGUUGCUAUUAAUUUAUUAAUCUGCUACCAUUACUAAAGGUGAUCACUGGCAUUUGGGAUUAUUUGUGAUAAGUAAUAAUAAGGCUAUUCAUAAUAUGGUUUAUUUUGUACAUUCCAAGUGACAUGAGACCAUGUUUGAAAAUUGUGAACCAUUAUUGCCUUUCUAAAUCUGUUAGUUUGCAUGAUGCAGUAUAUUGAUCAGUAUGAUUGCCGUACACAUUUGGUUAUUUUGAUAACACACUCUACAUGUGAAAAGUCAGUAUUGUAUAUUUUGGUCUAUAAAGCUUGGUAUUUUAAAAUUUGCAAAGAAGUAAUAAAUCUAUUGUAACUGCAA